rnacentral:rRNA from 1 species
AUUGUUUUAAAUUGCUGUGGUAUUUUGACUAUACAAAGGUAUUGAAAUAAGAUUUUAAUUGAAUGCUAAGAGAAUGGAAUUACAGAAAAUAGCUUUUUUUAGAUUAAAAAUUGAAAUUUUUUUAAUUUGUGCAGAAACAAUUAUUAAUAUUAAGGACAAGAAGACCCUAUGAAUUUAUAAAUUUAUGUUAUAGUAAUUAAUAUAAAAUAAAUUUUGGUUGGGGCGACAAAAAAAAAUAAAAAACUUUUUUUUUAUAAAAUGAUCCAUUAUUAAUGAUUAUAUGAAAAAUACUCUAGGGAUAACAGCGUUAUAUUUUUUGAUAGCUCAUAUUGACAAAAAAGUUUGCGACCUCGAUGUUGGAUUAGGAUACUUUUUUAAUGAAGAUAUAAAAAAAGAAGUUGUCAACCUUAAUCCC